rnacentral:rRNA from 1 species
AGUGAACGCUGGCGGUAGGCCUAACACAUGCAUGUCGAACGGCAGCACAGUAAGAGCUUGCUCUUACGGGUGGCGAGUGGCGGACGGGUGAGGAAUACAUCGGAAUCUACUUUUUCGUGGGGGAUAACGUAGGGAAACUUACGCUAAUACCGCAUACGACCUACGGGUGAAAGCAGGGGAUCUUCGGACCUUGCGCGAUUGAAUGAGCCGAUGUCGGAUUAGCUAGUUGGCGGGGUAAAGGCCCACCAAGGCGACGAUCCGUAGCUGGUCUGAGAGGAUGAUCAGCCACACUGGAACUGAGACACGGUCCAGACUCCUACGGGAGGCAGCAGUGGGGAAUAUUGGACAAUGGGCGCAAGCCUGAUCCAGCCGUACCGCGUGGGUGAAGAAGGCCUUCGGGUUGUAAAGCCCUUUUGUUGGGAAAGAAAAGCAGCAGGUUAAUACCCCGCUGUUCUGACGGUACCCAAAGAAUAAGCACCGGCUAACUUCGUG